rnacentral:rRNA from 1 species
UAGGACUGCAAUAUGUAACUUUAAUCUUUAACUGAAUGCUUUGGGAAGAGCAGCGAUACAGGGUGACAGCCCCGUAAGUGAAAAGGAUUGAGUGCUAGCAGUAUCCAGAGUACCAGCGGACACGUGAAACCCGCUGGGAAGAUGGGGGGACCAUCCUCCAAGCCUAAAUACUACUCAGUGACCGAUAGUGGAGCAGUACCGUGAGGGAAAGGUGAAAAGUACCCCGGGAGGGGAGUGAAAAAGAACCUGAAACCUUGUGCCUACAAGCACCGAGAGCACGUUAAAGUGUGAUCGGGUACUUUUUGUAGAACGGUCCGGCGAGUUAAUAUUUGCAGCGAGGUUAAGGAACUGGAGUUCCGGAGCCGUAGCGAGAGCGAGUCUGAAAAGGGCGUAUGAAGUUGCAGGUAUUAGACCCGAAACCGGGUGACCUAUCCAUGAGCAGGCUGAAGCGGUGGUAAGACACCGUGGAGGGCCGCACCCACGUCUGUUGAAAAAGCCGGGGAUGACUUGUGGAUAGCGGAGAAAUUCCAAUCGAACUCGGAGAUAGCUGGUUCUCCCCGAAAUAGCUUUAGGGCUAGCGUUAUUUUAGAUUACCGGAGGUAAAGCACUGAAUGGUCUAGGGGCCGCGAGGUUACCAAAGCCUAUCAAACUCUGAAUGCCGGAUAAUUGAUGAAUAGCAGUCAGACUGUGUGAGAUAAGUCUCAUAGUCAAAAGGGAAACAGCCCAGAUCUACAGCUAAGGUCCCAAAUGAACACUAAGUGGAAAAUGAUGUGAAACUGCGAAGACAACCAGGAUGUUGGCUUAGAAGCAGCCACUCAUUCAAAGAGUGCGUAAUAGCUCACUGGUCGAGUGGUUUUGCGCAGAAAAUGUAACGGGGCUAAGUGUUCAACCGAAGCUUAGGCAUUGCAGUAAUGCAUUGGGUAGGGGAGCGUCGUAUGCGGGGCGAAGUCAGAGCGGAAGCACUGGUGGACUGCAUACGAGUGAGAAUGCCGGAAUAAGUAGCGAGAAUUAUGUGAGAAUCAUAAUGGCCGAAAAUCUAAGGUUUCUUGGGGAAGGUUCGUCCGCCCAAGGUUAGUCGGGAGCUAAGCUCAGGCCGAAAGGCGUAGGCGAUGCACAUACGGUAGAAAUUCCGUAACCACCGAACAUUUAAGCUAGAGGGACGCUUUCUUUAAGGUUAUCCCGGGCGAUGGUUGCCCCGGGCGUAAGGGACCGAAAUUUAGUAGGGAAGUAACUGGCGAGAGAGACGAGAAAAGCUCUAGUGUAUACUAAGGUGCCCGUACCGCAAACCGACACAGGUAGAUGGGAUGAGUAUUCUAAGGCCAACGGGAGAAGGGUUGUUAAGGAACUCGGCAAAUUGGCCCCGUAACUUCGGGAUAAGGGGCGCCUGCGAGAGCAGGCCGCAGUGAAAAGGCCCAAGCGACUGUUUAGCAAAAACACAGCUCUCUGCUAAAUCGAAAGAUGACGUAUAGGGGGUGACGCCUGCCCGGUGCUGGAAGGUUAAGGGGAGUGCUUAGCGCAAGCGAAGGUGCGAACUUAAGCCCCAGUAAACGGCGGCCGUAACUAUAACGGUCCUAAGGUAGCGAAAUUCCUUGUCAGGUAAGUUCUGACCCGCACGAAUGGCGUAACGAUUUGGGCACUGUCUCAACAGCCCGCCCGGCGAAAUUGUAGUACCGGUGAAGAUGCCGGUUUCCCGCAACUAGACGGAAAGACCCCAUGGAGCUUCACUGUAGCUUGAUAUUGGAUCUCGGUAUUCCAUGUACAGGAUAGGUGGGAGGCUAGGAAGUAAGCGCGCCAGCGUUUAUGGAGCCAACCUUGGGAUACCACUCUUGGGAUAUUGGGAUUCUAACCUGCGACCAUGAAUCUGGUCGGGGGACACUGUCAGGUGGGCAGUUUGACUGGGGCGGUCGCCUCCAAAAGAGUAACGGAGGCGCUCAAAGGUUCGUUCAGCACGGAUGGAAAUCGUGCACUGAGUGUAAACGCAUAAACGAGCCUAACUGCGAGAAUGACGGUUCGAGCAGUAACGAAAGUUGGAGUUAGUGAUCCGGCGGUAUGUGAAUGGAAAUGCC